GGGUCGGUAGUUCACCGGUUAGAACGCUUCUCUGAUAAAGAAGAGGUAGAUGGUUCGAUUCCAUCCCGACCCA
rnacentral:tRNA from 2 species